AGUAACAUUUUGGCAGAACAAACAGUUGCACUUAAGUCUACUAUUACAUCACUUUGGCAAAACCCAAAACAUCUUCAGCGUUUUCCAGUAGGCUCCGAAGAUGAAUUGAAGGAGUGGGAAAAUGCCAUUGACAAUGAUAACAAAUGUGGAAUGAUUCAUGCAGUUAAAUGUUUGCUGGGAAAAGGAGGUAUAAGAAAAAAUUUAAAAUUAAUUUUAAGCCCACACUAAAUCCUUAGUUAUAAUCUUCACGGAACUCACAACAAGAAGAGACUGUAUAGUUACAACAAAGUAAUGGAUGUUCUCUUGCGUUCUACUGUGAAUCCAAAUGACUCUCAUUCGUUUGAGAGUGACAUGCGAAAAGCCAUCAAAGAUAUUAAAAACCGUUACUUCAAAGAUCUCUGCAUUAAAAAAAGGAACAAAAUACUGC